rnacentral:lncRNA from 10 species
ACAUCCAUUCUACAACUCUGAUGCUGGCACAUUUUUUAUCUUGGCAAAAGGACUUAAUAGAAAAAUUUUAGAUAACAAUCAGGAUUCAUACUCUUCUCAAUAGUCCUUAAAUGGUUUAUUGACCAAAAAGUAAAGAAGUAACAGUCCAGUCAUAUCAUGGAAAGAACAACCAAAUUCAUGCAUGCACAGGCAAAGACAACCAUAUCACUAUGACCACCUGGCUGACAGUAACUGCAGGACAUCAAUUAUUGUAAGACACUUCCUGUAAUAUGUUUAAUUCCUCUGACAUAAGGAUUUAUGUGAAUUAGGAAGUGGCCCAAGGGUGAAAAGUAAUAGGGAAAUAGAGAAAUAGAACCGAUCCAAAGGAAAGGGGGAAAAAAACCCACAAAAAGUGUGAUGUCAAGCAAAGCCUAUUCUGGAGAUGACUUUGGUUCACUCCCACGGGAGAGCCCUAGAGACAAAAAGGUUCUACAGUAGGUUCAAGUCAGAGGCCAGAGAACCCAGAGUAUUUAUACCUCUGCACCAUCAGUUAUUGAAUGGGGGUGGGGGUGGGGGUGGGUGUAAAUUUCCAGGUGCUUCCAGCCUGCAAUGCAGUCAAAGCAUGUUCCUGUAGCCUGAGGACAGCCGUCCAACAAAGAGGUGCAGGUGCUGAAUGUUGAGAGUGAAAGCACAGGGAGCUGUCAUGCAUGAGAGUGGUAGAGGGAUCUGAAAGUGCUAGCAGUGCCUAUUAUACAUCCAAAUACUAAAGACGCUUAGAUGUGAAAAAUGUGUGUCUUAGAAUCGAUAAAAUAUGGUAUAGAGAAUCAAGUCUCCUUGUUCCUGGUUUAUCUCAUAGCAUACUUAAAAUUCAGCUAAAGAUGAAAUGCCUUAACAAGUGAAAUGGGCUUUCUGAAAAAUUAUUUCAAUCAAAAUUGUGUUAAAAGCUAUUUCUAAAAACCCUAACAUGAAAUACUUAGAAGAGAUCAAGUGGUUUGUCCCUGGACAUUCAAGCAAUUGAAUGUCUAAACAAUCCAAGACAGAUAAUUUUGUAGUAUUUACUGUGUGAAGUGAACCUUUAAGGCUGUGGACAAUGCAAACUCCCUCAUGUACCUUGCUCCUUGCCAAUUUCAAACAAACCUUCUCACCUAUGAUAUAAGGCUUCCUUAGAAUUAUUGAUUAAUUAUUUAAGAUACAAUAAAACCAAAGUAUUUUUAAAACACAGUAAUUAUGUUAGUGCAGGUACAUGACAUAGAUAUCCUCAAAUAUUCUUAGGACAUCUAUAAAUCACCACAAACAUUCUGGAAAGCAGUCUUGGAACAUCUAUCAAAGGCCUUAAAAAUUUCUUCUUCUGUGAAUUUAUCCUCACAAAUGACCCCAAGUUUAGACCAAAAUAAAAAAAUGCUUAAAAGGCUUAUUAAAGCAUGAUUUAAAAUAGAAAUGAUUGCCUAAAUUCCUGAAAACAGGGGAAUGUCUAAAUAAAAUAUGGUAUCUAACAUGAUAGAAAAUGUUUACUAAUGUUUAAUGAUACCAAGAAAGUAUCACAAUAAUAACAUCAAGUGGUAAUAACAGGAAACAGAUCUGUAUACAAUAUAAAACCAACAGUAUUGUAUAUAUAAACACCAUAGAAGAUCUGAAAAAAAAUUAGAUGACAUUAUUUGUGAUAUCUAUUUUAUUUAUUAUAUUUUUCUGCAUACUACUCUACAGUGAGCCUGUCCUUUAUAAGAAAAAAUGCUAAUGAUUUAUUGUGUAUGAAAAAAGUGUAUCUGAUUUGAUUAUAUAUUUUUAUUUCCACUUAUAUUUUCUAGGAUUAUUUUGCUUUAGAAUUCUAUGUAUAAUCCUGUGAAAAUUUGUAGUGUUGUAGGGACUGGAAAGAUCAGAGAUUAUGUUAUGGCCAUGAAUGAGGCCUGACCUGCAUUGUCAAUAACUAAAUUGAUUAUUGUGGAAACAACAAAAAAAUUCAUUUUUUGAAAUGAAAAUCUUUAUUGAAAUAA